CUGCCCGAUAGAGGGGGAUAACUACUGGAAACGGUGGCUAAUACCGCAUAAUGUCUACGGACCAAAGCAGGGGCUCUUCGGACCUUGCACUAUCGGAUGAACCCAUAUGGGAUUAGCUAGUAGGUGGGGUAAAGGCUCACCUAGGCGACGAUCUCUAGCUGGUCUGAGAGGAUGAUCAGCCACACUGGGACUGAGACACGGCCCAG
rnacentral:rRNA from 1 species